UUGAUCCUGGCUCAGAAUCAACGCUGGCGGCGUGCCUAACACAUGCAAGUCGAACGCGAAAGUUCCGCAAGGAAUGAGUAGAGUGGCAAACGGGUGAGUUACACGUGGGUGACCUGCCUUCGAGUGGGGGAUAACGUCCCGAAAGGGACUCUAAUACCGCAUAACAUCCUGCCUUUUAAGAGGCGGAAAUCAAAGCUGGUGAUCGCAAGACCUGGCGCUUGAAGAGGGGCCCGCGUCCGAUUAGCUAGUUGGUGGGGUAACGGCUCACCAAGGCGACGAUCGGUAGCCGGCCUAAGAGGUCGGACGGCCACACUGGGACUGAGACACGGCCCAGACUCCUACGGGAGGCUGCAGUGGGGAAUUGUUCGCAAUGGGCGCAAGCCUGACGACGCAACGCCGUGUGGAGGAUGAAGACCUUCGGGUCGUAAACUCCUUUCGAUCGAGACGAAUGGCCUCCGCGUGAACAGCGCGGGGGAAUGACGGUACCGAGAGAAGAAGCUCCGGCUAACUCCGUGCCAGCAGCCGCGGUAAUAAGGU
rnacentral:rRNA from 1 species